rnacentral:rRNA from 1 species
UACGUAGGGUCCAAGCGUUAUCCGGAUUUACUGGGUGUAAAGGGCGAGUAGACGGCGCCACAAGUCAGAUGUGAAAACUUAGAGCUCAACUUUAAGACUGCAUCUGAAACUGUGGUGCUAGAGUGCAGAAGAGGUAAGUGGAAUUCCUAGUGUAGCGGUGAAAUGCGUAGAUAUUAGGAGGAACACCAGUGGCGAAGGCGACUUACUGGGCUGUAACUGACGUUGAGGCGCGAAAGUGUGGGGAGCAAACAGG